UCCAUCCAUCGCGCUUCCUCCUCGAGGAAUUCCUCAAAUGUUCUCGGAGGCAAGCGGGCACACGCCGCGCGUCUCAGGCCACCAUACUGUGAGAUAUAAGCGCCGAGGUGAAGCGGCAGUGCAUUCUGGGACUUGUAUUCAUCACGUGGGGGGUAUGUUGACGUCAAAUACAGUGGACGGUAGCCGGUGAAAAGCCGAGAGGGGCCAUUUGCAUUCAGCGGACAACCAACAGAUGACCUCAGCAAGACACCCCCCCGAUGGUAAGCGAGCCUUCACUUUGAGAGCAUUUUCAGAUAACGACACUACAGUGCUGCCUUCGUGACCACACUUGGAACUCACAACACUUUUACGUCAAAUCAUAUUCAAAAGAGAUGAAAAUU